GAGCGAGAAAGGGUAGCAAUACCUGAGUAAAGCGGCGCACGGGUGAGUAACACGUGGGUAAUCUGCCCUGGAGUGGGGAAUAACACCGGGAAACCGGUGCUAAUACCGCAUACGAUCGCGAUGUUUUCGGAUGUUGCGAUGAAAGGAGCAAUUCGCUCCAGGAGGAGCCCGCGGCUGAUUAGCUAGUUGGUGAGGUAAUGGCUCACCAAGGCUACGAUCAGUAUCCGGUCUGAGAGGACGGUCGGACACACUGGAACUGAGACACGGUCCAGACUCCUACGGGAGGCAGCAGUGGGGAAUUUUUCGCAAUGGGGGCAACCCUGACGAAGCAACGCCGCGUGGAUGAUGAAGUAUCUCGGUACGUAAAAUCCUUUCGACGGGGAAGAAACCGCAAGGUUGACGGUACCCGUAGAAGAAGCCCCGGCUAACUCCGUGCCAGCAGCCGCGGUAAUACGGGGGGGGCGAGCGUUGUUCGGAAUUACUGGGCGUAAAGGGCGCGUAGGCGGUCUACUAAGUUGGAUGUGAAAACUCUGGGCUUAACCCAGAGCCUGCAUUCAAUACUGAUAGGCUGGAGUUCUGGAGGGGAUAGCGGAAUUCCUGGUGUAGCGGUGAAAUGCGUAGAUAUCAGGAGGAACACCGGUGGCGAAGGCGGCUAUCUGGACAGAAACUGACGCUGAGGCGCGAAAGCUAGGGGAGCAAACAGGAUUAGAUACCCUGGUAGUCCUAGCCCUAAAGAUGGGAUACUUGGUGUGACCGGGAUUGAAUCCGGUCGUGCCGAAGCUAACGCAU
rnacentral:rRNA from 1 species